rnacentral:rRNA from 1 species
AGAGUUUGAUUCUGGCUCAGGAUGAACGCCGGCGGUGUGCCUAAUACAUGCAAGUCGUACGCACUGGCCCAACUGAUUGAUGUUGCUUGCACCUGAUUGACGAUGGAUCACCAGUGAGUGGCGGACGGGUGAGUAACACGUAGGUAACCUGCCUCGGAGCGGGGGAUAACAUUUGGAAACAGAUGCUAAUACCGCAUAACAACAAAAGCCACAUGGCUUUUGUUUGAAAGAUGGCUUUGGCUAUCACUCUGGGAUGGACCUGCGGUGCAUUAGCUAGUUGGUAAGGUAACGGCUUACCAAGGCAAUGAUGCAUAGCCGAGUUGAGAGACUGAUCGGCCACAUUGGGACUGAGACACGGCCCAAACUCCUACGGGAGGCAGCAGUAGGGAAUCUUCCACAAUGGACGAAAGUCUGAUGGAGCAACGCCGCGUGAGUGAAGAAGGGUUUCGGCUCGUAAAGCUCUGUUGGUAGUGAAGAAAGAUAGAGGUAGUAACUGGCCUUUAUUUGACGGUAAUUACUUAGAAAGUCACGGCUAACUACGUGCCAGCAGCCGCGGUAAUACGUAGGUGGCAAGCGUUGUCCGGAUUUAUUGGGCGUAAAGCGAGUGCAGGCGGUUCAAUAAGUCUGAUGUGAAAGCCUUCGGCUCAACCGGAGAAUUGCAUCAGAAACUGUUGAACUUGAGUGCAGAAGAGGAGAGUGGAACUCCAUGUGUAGCGGUGGAAUGCGUAGAUAUAUGGAAGAACGCCAGUGGCGAAGGCGGCUCUCUGGUCUGCAACUGACGCUGAGGCUCGAAAGCAUGGGUAGCGAACAGGAUUAGAUACCCUGGUAGUCCAUGCCGUAAACGAUGAGUGCUAAGUGUUGGGAGGUUUCCGCCUCUCAGUGCUGCAGCUAACGCAUUAAGCACUCCGCCUGGGGAGUACGACCGCAAGGUUGAAACUCAAAGGAAUUGACGGGGGCCCGCACAAGCGGUGGAGCAUGUGGUUUAAUUCGAAGCAACGCGAAGAACCUUACCAGGUCUUGACAUCCAGUGCAAACCUAAGAGAUUAGGUGUUCCCUUCGGGGACGCUGAGACAGGUGGUGCAUGGCUGUCGUCAGCUCGUGUCGUGAGAUGCUGGGUUAAGUCCCGCAACGAGCGCAACCCUUACAGUCAGUUGCUACGCAAGAGCACUCUGGCAGGACUGCCGUUGACAAAACGGAGGAAGGUGGGGAUGACGUCAAAUCAUCAUGCCCCUUAUGGCCUGGGCUACACACGUACUACAAUGGCACUUAACAACGAGAAGCAAAGCCGCGAGGCGGAGCGAAACUCCAAAAAGUGUCUCAGUUCAGAUUGCAGGCUGAAACUCGCCUGUAUGAAGUCGGAAUUGCUAGUAAUCGCGGAUCAGCAUGCCGCGGUGAAUACGUUCCCGGGCCUUGCACUCACCGCCCGUCA